ACCAAAAGGAGAAUACGGAGACGACAAUUGCGACGCAACUUCGGCCUUACCAUAUUGAAGAAUUACUAUUUCCCUUCUUUAAAAGAAAAAUGCUAUGACUAUGAUCCACCAUGUAGCUCUACCACAGAUUCCAGUUAAAGUUUCUAUGAGGUGCUUAAGGUUCAAUUGACAAUUAUAAACGAAACUCUUGUGUUCGAGCGAUCGUUCAUGCCAAAGGUUUUAUGAAUUGCACGGUGUGUACGAGUGCUAUUUUUUCAAUGGAUUGGCCUCCUGGGAAAGUCAUGUUGCAUUAGUAAUACGGCAACAUUGAUGAAUUAUUUUUUCAUUGGUGAUAUUUUAUGACUUUUUCAACAAUGUAUGUAAAGCAGUGAAUAACACCUACAGUUUUAUUAAUUCUGACAAUUCCAUUAUAAAUAGUUUAUAACAUUAUGUGUAAUAGAAUGGCGACUUAAAAAUUAUAUUAACAUGUCUGGAUUAAACUGUUAAUUAUCACGAAACUUUAUUUAAUUGUUAUAUUAAUAUAUAAUUUUUAAACCUGCCGAUAGGGUUACCACUGCGAAAAACUUUUAAAUUCCGCCCAAAUUAUUUCAAAAGCUGACAAUUUUUAAUUAAAAAAUUAAGAUCUAUUGUACUUUUGAAAAUAUUAAAUACAUAAUAAAUUCGGUAAUAAGUAUA